GUGGUUGUAUGCAUGCCUGACAAUGUCGGGGCAUGGUCCUAAUGAGACCAUGGAUGAUGUCCUGGGGGAUCUCCUCUCACAUCUGGACCAGGGUAUCACUGAGCUUCUGGACAGUCUGAGGUGCAACCUGGUGGCAUCGAAUGGACGAAACAUAAUGUCCGUGGGGGGCAGUCAAUGGUAUCAAUUCCUUCAUCCUCCAGGAACUGCCUAUAUGCUCUUGCCACAUUGUCGUGCACCAGGAGGAACCCAGGACCCACCGCAUCAGCAUAGGGUCUGACAAUGGGUUCAAGAAUUUCAUCCUGAUAUCUAAUGGCAGUCAAGGUGCCGUUGUCUAGCCUGUAGAGGUCUGUGCGUCCCUCCAUGGAUAUGCCUCCCCAGACCAUCACUGACCCACCACCAAACCGGUCAUGCUGAACAAUGCUGCAGGCAGCAUAACGUUCUCCAUGGCUUCUCCAGACCCUUUCACGUCUGUCACAUGUGCUCAGGGUGAACCUGCUCUCAUCUGUGAAAAGCACAGGGCACCAGUAGCAGACCUGCAAAUUCUGGUAAUCUAUGGCAAAUGCCAAUCGAGCUCCAUGGUGCUGGGCAGUGAGCACAGGGUCCACUAGAGGACGUUGGGCCCUCAAGCCACCCUCAUGAAGUCUGUCUCUGACCAAACAAUCAGAAACAUUCACACCAGUGGCCUGAUGGAGGUCAUUUUGUAGGGCUCCAGCAGUGUUCAUCCUGUUCCUCCUUGCACAAAGGAGCAGAUACCGGUCCUGCUGAUGGGUUAAGGACCUUCUAUGGCCCUGUUCAGCUCUCCUUGAAUAACUGCCUGUCUCCUGGAAUCUCCUCCAUGCCCUUGAGACUGUGCUGGGAGACACAGCAAACCUUCUGGCAAUGGCACGUAUUGAUGCGCCAUCCUGGAGGAGUUGGACUACCUGUGCAACCUCUGUAGGGUCCAGGUAUCGCCUCAUGCUACCAGUAGUGACACUGACCGUCGCCAAAUGCAAAACUAGUGAAAAAACCGUCAGAAAAGAUGAGGAGGGAAAAAUGCCAGUGGCCUCCACCUGUUAAACCAUUCCUGGUUUGGGGGUCGUCUCAUUGUUGCCCCUCUAUUUCACCUGUUGAUAAUUUCAUUAACACUAAAGCGGCUGAAACUGAUUAACAACCCCCUCCGCUACUUAACUGACCUGGUCAAUAUCCCAGAAGUUUAAUAGACUUGAUGCUAUACUCUGAUUAAAAAGUGUUCCUUCAAUUUUUUUAAGCAGUAUAUAUUAAUACAUAGAUAUGAAUGUCCAUACAUUCACGGACACACUUUCAUACAUAUCUGUAAUGACUGAAACAUACAAUACAUGAAUCAAACAGUAAUAAUAAUAAUUAAUUAAAAUAACAGCAAAAAAGUAGGGGGGCGGUGGGCAUUGAGGUAGCUUUUAUUCACAAAAUAGUUUGCUGCAAACAUACAUCCAUCCAUCCAUUUUCCAAACCGCUUAUCCUACUGGGUCGCAGGGGGUCCGGAGCCUAUCCCGGAAGCAAUAGGCAAAAGGUAGGGAACAACCCAGGAUGGGGGGCCAACCCAUCACAGGGCACAUUCACAUACCAGUCGGGCAAUUUAGCAACUCCAAUUAGCCUCAGCAUGUUUUUGGACUGUGGGGGAAACCAGAGUACCCGGAGAAAAUCCCACGACGACAUGGGGAGAACAUGCAAACUCCACACACAUGUGACCCAGGCGGAGACUUGAACCCGGGUCCCAGAGGUGUGAGGCAACAGUGCUAACCACUGCACCACCAUGCCGCCCCCAGCAAACAUACAAACAACCAGAAUUCUAGAAAAGUUCUUUAUAUUUGAAUGAAAUAACAAAUAAAACACUUUCAAAUCACAUGAGCCUAUAUUUUAUUCACAACAGAACAUAGAUGAUAUUACAAAUGUUCAAAGGCCGAAGACCUGUAUUGGAUGCCCGUGGUCUUCGGGCCCUCAGACGACUCUGCAUCACUCAUCGGCAUGAUUGUGUCAAUGACAUUACUAAAUGGGCCCAGGAAUACUUCCAGAAAGCACAGUCGGUAAACACAAUCCGCCGUGCCAUCUGCAGAUGCCAGCUAAAGCUCUAUCAUGCAAAAAGGAAUCCAUGUCUGAACAUGGUCCAGAAGCGCCGUCGUGUCCUGUGGGCCAAGACUCAUUUGAAAUGGACUGUUUCAAAGUGGGAAAGUGUUCUGUGGUCAGAGUCCAAAUGUGACAUUCUUGUUGGUAAUCAAGGGCACCGUGUCCUCCGGGCUAAAGAGGAGGGAGACCUUCCAGCGUGUUAUCAGCGUUCAGUUCAAAAGCCAGCAUCUCUGAUGGUAUGGGGGUGCAUAAGUGCAUACGGUAUGGGCAACUUGCAUGUUUUGGAAGGAACUAUGAAUGCUGAAAGGUAUAUAAAGGUUUUAGAGCAACACAUGCUCCCCUCCAGAGGACGUCUGUUUCAGGGAAGGCCUGGUGUAUUUCAGCAGGACAAUGCAAAACCACAUACUGCAGCUAUUACAAGCACAUGGCUUCGUCGGAGAAGAGCCCGGGUGCUGAAUUGGCCUGUCUGCAGUCCAGAUCUUUCACCUAUAGAGAACAUACAGUAAUUAUCUGUGACACCCAUGGUGCACUGUGAGCAGGUAUACAGGCCCACAGAGCAUGCAGAUAAUUAUCUGUGACACCCAUUGUACACUGUGAGCAGGUAUACAGGCCAACAGAGCAUGCAGAUAAUUAUCUGCGACACCCAUUGUACACUGUGAGCAGGUAUGCAGGCCAACAGAGCAUGCAGAUAAUUAUCUGUGACACCCAUGGUGCACUGUGAGCAGGUAUACAGGCCCACAGAGCAUGCAGAUAAUUAUCUGCGACACCCAUUGUACACUGUGAGCAGGUAUACAGGCCAACAGAGCAUGCAGAUAAUUAUCUGUGACACCCAUGGUGCACUGUGAGCAGGUAUACAGGCCAACAGAGCAUGCAGAUAAUUAUCUGUGACACCCAUUGUACACUGUGAGCAGGUAUACAGGCCCACAGAGCAUGCAGAUAAUUAUCUGCGACACCCAUUGUACACUGUGAGCAGGUAUACAGGCCAACAGAGCAUGCAGAUAAUUACCUGUGACACCCAUUGUACACUGUGAGCAGGUAUACAGGCCCACAGAGCAUGCAGAUAAUUAUCUGUGACACCCAUUGUACACUGUGAGCAGGUAUACAGGCCAACAGAGCAUGCAGAUAAUUAUCUGUGACACCCAUGGUGCACUGUGAGCAGGUAUACAGGCCAACAGAGCAUGCAGAUAAUUAUCUGUGACACCCAUGGUGCACUGUGAGCAGGUAUACAGGCCCACAGAGCAUGCAGAUAAUUAUCUUUGACACCCAUGGUGCACUGUGAGCAGGUAUACAGGCCCACAGAGCAUGCAGAAAAUUAUCUGUGACACCCCUUGUACACUGUGAGCAGGUAUACAGGCCCACAGAGCAUGCAGAUAAUUAUCUGUGACACCCACGGUGCACUGUGAGCAGGUAUACAGGCCCACAGAGUAUGCAGAUAAUUAUCUGUGACACCCCUUGUACACUGUGAGCAGGUAUCAGUACUGACUACUUUUUAUAUUGAGUCACAUGUUUUAUGUGAAUUACUUUGUACUGAACUGAAGGCCAGUAUUUGUCACUGUGAAUAUGUUGUUGCAGACGUCCAUCCAGAAAUCAGAGCUGGGGGAAAAGAUAAGGUCCUUAUUCCAGUUAAUUUUUGGUACAAAUAUCAAUGUGUCUGUCGCAGAUGGAGGAUUAUAUAUUCUAGAGGUUUCUUUUUAUUUUUAAGUUGCAGAAUGUUGUCUCAUCUGAGGAGGAUUCAGUGUAUUAUGUGUGAGGUCCAUUUUGGUUCUGAUGCUAGAUUCAGUUAGUAAAUAUUAGAAAAAUUGCAUAUUCUCAACUCGCAUUUAUGGAUUAAGUCUUUGAAUGUCAUGAAAUGACUGUUACUGAAAAGGAGGUGGAGAUGUGUAAUCCCUUUCUGUCCCCGUGAGUGAUAGUGAAUGGUGAUAUUGUGAAGUAGGAAGUCCAGAUUAUUCCAGAUUGGCGUGUAUUUACAGGGUCUGAGAGUACAGUUAGUGAUUUUAAUGACUUUCCACUGGGCUGUCAGUGCUGUGGAAAUGGCAGCACUGUGUUGUUAAAGCAGUUUUGUUUUGCUAAGAAGUAAUUAAGAAAAAUGAGCUUGUAAUCCACCUUGAGAUUUACUUUUCUGUAAUGUGGAAUGUUUGAUUUUGUGUUUUUGUUUUUCCAGCAAAAAUGUGACAUUAAUGAGUUUGAAAGAAUUUUUCUGAAAUUAUUCUGGACGAGUAAUUUUAUUUUUAUUGAUUCAAGUGGGAGACUCAUCUAUUGUUUUGAAUAAGGGGGUGUAGUUGAGGGUAACCAAGUCAGACAGCCUGUGGGAGAUGUAGAUACCCAAGUACCGGAUAUUUCCAGUGUGAAAUGGACCAUCCUGAUCAGCUGAAUCCCAGGCAUCGUCAGACAGUGAGAAUAUUAUGUGUUUUUUUCCAGUUUAUUGUGUAGUUUGAUAUGUUUUGAAAAGGUAUUAAUAAAAUUAAAAUUUCAUAUAUUGAGGGUUUCAUAAAAACAGCAAGAUAUCAUCUGCAUAGAGACUAAUUUUGUGUUGACUUAUUAGUAUGAAUUCUAUUUAUUUCACUGUUCUGUCGUAUUGCUGCCACAAUUGUUUCUAUGAAGAUGGCAAACAGUGAAGGAGAGAGUGGGCAUGCAGGCCGUCUUCCCCGUCGGAGUGUGAAUGCAGGUGAUGUCAUCCCAUCUGUGACACUGUAGCUUUGGCUGAGGUGUACAGUAUUUUAACCCAGUGGGUGAACGACUCUCCGAAGCCAAAUCUAUGCAAUAUAUUAAAGAAGAAUGUCCAACUGACUGUCAGAUGUCGUUUCUGCAUCUAAUGAUGUAAUCGUGGUUUUAGUGUGGGUAUGCUGAGCAGUACUGACUAAAUUAAAUAAUCUAUGGAUGUUGUCCGAGGCAUGUCUUGUCUUGAUGAAAUCUGUCUGAUCAGGAUGGAUUAUAGUAGGAAUGACUGUCUGUAACUGAGUGGCGAGAGCUUUUGUAAUGAUUUUCAAGUCUGUAUUCAUUAGUGAGAGUGGCGGGUAACUGGAGGGUUGUGUUGGGUCUGUAGGGAGCCGCCCACUGGCCCAAUGGCGGAAUCCAAUGGCGCAGCCGAAGGCUGAGAAUGCGUGUCGGUCCUUCCAAGCGCUCCUGGGAAUUACUUACCCUUUUUAAUAUACAAAAUAUUCUUUUAGACACAUAUCUGACUCCAUUUUAUUAAUGACCUUAUUUCAGUAUAUUGUAGUCAUGACGUUUAUGUUGUUCAGAUUACUUCGAGACUCUCCUUUAGAUUACCAACUCUAGUUUUACCCCUGACGAAGGAGUCCGCCAGAUUCGCCUCGGCCGACAGGGCGGUCUGUGGGCUUGUUCCACAGGGUUUGUCCUAAAGGUACAGAAAUCGCCACCAUUUAAGACAAUGUCAGCCUCUGAUUAUUCGGGUCCCUCGACCUAUAUAAUUCCCCAAAGGCUCAGUGUCUGCCAAUUACUGAGCAUGUGGGUGCCUCGGAGAUUAAGCCGAUGUUUACCCGAACCACACGUACGUCCACCUCAGAGGCUCAGCCGGGGGCAGCCCAUAUCAUAACAUGUGUCAACCUCAGCGGCAGUGAAGGCGCACCUUUUGUUGCGGUAGUUUGUACGAGGUUUACUUUUGGCUCGUCUCAGGGACUCCGCCGAUGCCGCCCAUUGUCUUACCAUGUGAAUGUCUCAGAGACUAUGCCCGGUGCCUAGGAACAUAGUGUGUACGCCGGCCCGUAACUGAGCGUGUGUGAACUCCAGAGGUGUGGUUCUGGUAUCCACCUAACUUAACUUGGGCAGUCGAGUUUGGGACCCGGAUAAAGGGGAUUUAACCCAGAGGCUACAAGAUAGUAUUUACCACUUUUGUCCUAAUAAGGAUAGAAGUCCAAUCUGGAAAGUUUAUAAAGAAGUUAGCAAAUCAGACAGCCAUAAAAUAAUCGAAACAACAUUUAUUAAACAUACUACAAUAUACAAUUAUUGACAUGUGGCCACAUACUUGUAAAUAUAAUUUGACAAAUACAAUAUUAAACCAUCCCAUACCUCAGCGGAGAGUGCACAAAGUUCUGCGGAAAGCAUCUGACUACAGAUGGACUUUCGCACAGUUCUCUGUGGGAGCUCUGAUUACAGAGUGACUCCCCGACUUCUUCUGAGACCCUUCCUUAAGUAUCCAACCCAGGUGAUGGCAUGUCUCUGAAGACUGACCAGUUUCGGUCAAUGGUUAAUUUUAGGGGCAUUGCUGGAC